rnacentral:rRNA from 1 species
AUUGAACGCUGGCGGCAUGCCUUACACAUGCAAGUCGAACGGCAGCACGGGAGCAAUCCUGGUGGCGAGUGGCGAACGGGUGAGUAAUAUAUCGGAACGUGCCCGGUCGUGGGGAUAACGUAGCGAAAGCUACGCUAAUACCGCAUACGAUCUACGGAUGAAAGCGGGGGAUCGCAAGACCUCGCGCGAUUGGAGCGGCCGAUAUCAGAUUAGGUAGUUGGUGAGGUAAAGGCUCACCAAGCCGACGAUCUGUAGCUGGUCUGAGAGGACGACCAGCCACACUGGGACUGAGACACGGCCCAGACUCCUACGGGAGGCAGCAGUGGGGAAUUUUUGGGACAAAUGGGCGCAAGCCUGAUCCAGCCAUGCCGCGUGCAGGAAGACGGUCCUAUGGAUUGUAAACUGCUUUUAUACAGGAAGAAACACUCGGACGUGUCCGAACUUGACGGUACUAGUAUGAAUAAG